AACAGGCUAGAUUUAAAGAUGGCUGCAACUCCUCCUCCUCAGCCAGAGCCUCGAGGAAUUUAAGUAUUAUUAUGACUGGGAGGAGUGGAUUCAUUUAGACUAACAUGUUCUUCAUUGCACAGCCAUGUUUUGGUAAGACAGAAUAGAUCAAUUUGAUUAUCUGAUAUCAGACAAUUUACUACUGCU